GACGCAGGAAAACCCAAGAAGAGGCGCAGUCUCAGAAGCCUGUGUUCGUCAGUCCUGAGAAUUCAACAAAACUUCAAGCGGUUAACCAUCAAAGCGCGUGCGGCUGGUCCAUUUAUUGAUGCCGCUGCAUGGACAGUAAAACAUAUGCCAGUUGCUACGGGACGUCAAGCUACCCUCUACCGCCGGAAAACUGCUGCGCUUCUGAAUUACUGCGAGACUCUGAUGGUUGAGCUGGUUGACCCGUCAAUGCCAGUACCGCUAACCAGCUAAGUUGUGACCUCUGUUUAAAAAAAAAAAAAAAAAAAAAAAAAAA